UAUCUUCUUGUCUUUAUCUUCUUGUCUCUUUGCACCUGUUGAUCAUUCUAGUUGGACCUCUGGAAUUAUAUUAUCUUCGCCAUUACAUUUUGAACAUUUAUGAUCUGGGUACUUAUGUCCUAUUAACUUGCAGUACCUAGUUAAUAACUCUGCUGAAAUAAAUCAUGUCUUUAGUGCUCGUGUUGUAGGUCAUUCUUCUGGUCUAAGUAAUGAUAAAAUCCAUCUCUGGACUUCAUC
rnacentral:lncRNA from 1 species